GCAAGUCGAACGAGAAAGGGAUUGCUUGCAAUCCUGAGUAGAGUGGCGCACGGGUGAGUAACACGUAGAUAAUCUACCUUCAAGCCUGGAAUAACUAUUCGAAAGGAUAGCUAAUACCGGAUAAAGUAUUUGUUCAUAAGAACAACUAUGAAAGAUUGCCUCUAUUUAUAAGCAAUUGUUUGGAGACGAGUUUGCGGACCAUUAGUUAGUUGGUGGGGUAACGGCCUACCAAGACUCCGAUGGUUAGCUGGUCUGAGAGGAUGAUC
rnacentral:rRNA from 1 species